UCGGGAAUUUUGGGCAAUGGGCGAAAGCCUGACCCAGCAACGCCGCGUGAAGGAUGAAGUAUUUCGGUAUGUAAACUUCGAAAGAAUAGGAAGAAUAAAUGACGGUACUAUUUAUAAGGUCCGGCUAACUACGUGCCAGCAGCCGCGGUAAUACGUAGGGACCAAGCGUUGUUCGGAUUUACUGGGCGUAAAGGGCGCGUAGGCGGCAAUUCAAGUCAUCUGUGAAAUCUCCGGGCUUAACUCGGAACGGUCAGAUGAUACUGCUUUGCUGGAGUGCAGAAGGGGCAAUCGGAAUUCUUGGUGUAGCGGUGAAAUGCGUAGAUAUCAAGAGGAACACCUGAGGUGAAGGCGGCUACCUGGACCAAUACUGACGCUGAGGCGCGAAAGCGUGGGGAGCAAACAGGAUUAGAUACCCCAGUAGUCCCUGAGCGGGCUGGCAAGGCGCAU
rnacentral:rRNA from 1 species